GCCCUCCAGAUGUUUUGCGACUACAACCCCCAUCUUCCCUGACCACUGGUCCUGUAAGCUAGGGAUGAUGGGAGUUGUAGUCCCAAAACAUCUGGAGGGC
rnacentral:miRNA from 1 species